GAGAAGACGAGGGAAACACCGGAUGCGGACUCCGCCUCCUCCUCUUCUGGGGCGGAGCGCUCUCGAUGCCUCAGCCGCCCUCACUCUGUCUCUGACGUCCUCUCCUUUCAUUUCUUUGCGGAUUAUUUGGUCUGCUUCUCGUUUGAUUCGCGUGGACUGCGACGCAGGUGUCUGCAUCUGCUCUUGAAUGCGUUGGUCGAUGCGUCUCAAGCUCCCAAUUCGAUCUCUCAGCCAAAGUGGUCUCACUGAUGGGAAUUGUUCUUGGAGAAAACUAUACAUGGAAUUGAUUCGUUCUGGGGUAAAGCCAAAUGCAAGCAGUUGGAUAUCAUGCAGAGGACUGAAGACUGUUGAAGCCUACUUUGAAGAAAGUUAAUGCACGACGACACACAAUUUGGUUUGUGUACAGUGUUGCCACAGAGAAGGAACUCUACAUCACCUGUAUCCAUAUUUAGUGGUUUUAUUACAUAGUUCCAUCUUUUUUCUCCCUUUUUCCUCCUAGCAAUCACCAGUUACAUGGCAUGUGUUUGGUUUGACUUUUACAUUCAUAAAGUUUUAAUAGAUCAUAUAUUCUCUUGCGGAGAAAAUUUAAGAGAUGAGUUUGUUUGAUCAAGUAGAAUUUUUUAUUUGAAAAUAUUUUUGUUUAAAGAAAACUUAAAAUUAACAAUUAACUAUUUUAUAAAUACCCUAUAUAUUUUAUGAUUUUGGUGUGUGGGAAGAAAGAAAAAAUUUGUGCUCCUAAGAUUUUCUGUUUCUAAUAGAUCAACAAAGUUUCAUGGAGAUUUAUUGAGUUUGUGAGAAGAUGUAGAAGAAGUUUAAAGUUUGAGUUGAUAUAAAAAGGAGUCUUUCUCAAGAUAUUUUUUAUCCUCAUAUUGUGAAUUUUUGUUCUUAUAUUCUAUAAUAUUCCAAAGCAACUUGCUUCCUAGCACAUAGACUUUAAAUGACCAACUGUAGUUACUCUUGUUAUUACUGUUAUUACAGUUUGUGUCCAAUUGGUCAUGAGAAAGUAAUCAAUUUCCUUUUUUCAUGUCAUUUCAAGUGGAUGACAUUAUUUGGCAACUGUGUUUCACGUAGGUUGCUUUGUUGGUAGUAUGAAAAUUUUGGGAUUAUUUCAGUGACAUGGCUCAGUUGUUUUUUAUUUGAGGCAAGGAAGUGAUUGGGUAAGUGUAUGACAAAGUAAUGGGAUCUCACAGUUUCUUGAUCCAAACAUUUGAUGCUUGAUCUGCUUGCAUGAAAGCUAAACCAAUGACUAAAUGGGCACAAACAUCACGUUUAAAAAACUGAAUCAUUGAUUUGGGACUUUACAGCUUUGUUGGUGUUGUUGUUAUUGAUUGAUUGAUUAAAAACGAAUAAAAAAGAAAUGUGUUGAAAGAGUUCAAUAAAACUAAUAGGUUUCAGACAUCAGUAGAUAUUGGAAUUCUGUUUAGUUUGCAGAUGCACUGUCAUAAAGAUAGCAAGGCAAGGAAAAGCACAAUUCAUUAGAGAAACAAUUUUUAUGUGCAUCUAAGAUAAAACUAAAGUGGGUUUCAUUGCAGAUGUCACUGUCAUAUGUUGUGCCAUUUUAAUCUUUUUCUGACUUAUACUAAGUAUGAGUUUUCUUUUUCUGCAGAUACACACAAAUUAUAUGCCAUGUUGGUUAAUUUUUUCCUUCGGAUGCAAGGAUCACCAUGUUGAAUUGAGUUGAUUGCAGAUGCCAAGGAGAAGAUGGAGCUGAUCACUCUAACCCUGGGAAGUUACUUUUGGAUGGUGAGUGGGAAAUCACCACAACCCAGCUUGAUCUUCUUCCAGCUCAUGCGCUGAAACUUAGGCAAGUAAGUCCUGGAAUGGUCCACCGAGAAGAAUCUCUCACACUUGUAUGCAGGCCACAUGAAGCCAAACUGGAGCAGGUGAGGAACAGUUGCAUGUUUUUGCACUGACAUAGCAGAUCCUUCAUUGAUGAUCUUAUUGAAGUUUCUACUGUUCAUCAUGGAACCAGAAAUCCAUGCUUUUUCUUCCACCACUUGCUUCGAACACAGACCUUCUCCAAAAGCACCAGGAAGAUCACAUCAUCUCAUGUCCUAUUCACUCAUCCUGUUACUCUCCUUGGCAGAUGCAGCAGUACUGUCACACCUCUGGCAUUGGACUCCUUCAAGAGCAGCGAUUGAAAGAUCAUCAUAAAACGUCACAAGUGAACACACAGUCAACUGAAUCGUGGCCUUCUUGAUCAUUCCUUAAAGUGGUCAAGGAAAGCAGAAUGCAGUGUCAUCAGUGUCUGUGCUGUCUCCUAAUCUUCCACGGCCAUUUGUCUCACCAAACUGUAUAUGAUCAUUUGGGUGCAGUAGCAUCAGUAUCCGUGCCUUAAUUAUGAUGCAGGAGCCUGUCUCUGCACUCCUAAUGGUUUCAUGGCAUCCCAGGGGAACAAAUGGCUCAGUAAACUGCAUACAGUUAUUUGGCAAGGAAACUUCUUGAUCGUUCUUCAUCAGUGUCAUCUGUACUCUUUAAGUAUGAUGCAGGAGACUCUGCACUCAAUGAUCUUCCAAGGCACCAGAGGAGAACAAUGGCUCAGUAAACUGAAUAAGACUCAGCUUAUAGAUCAUUCUUCAUCAGUGUCAUCUGUGCUCCAAGUAUGAUGUAGGAGACUGUGUCUGCACGCCUAAUCUUUCAUGGCAUCCGAGGUGAACAAAUCAGUGAACUGCAUACAGUCAACUGACGAGGGAAGUUCUUGAUCAUUCUGCAUCAGUGACAUCUGUGCUGCUCUAAGUAUGAUGCAGGAGACUGUGUCUGCACUCCUAAUCUCUUAUGGCAUUCCAGAGAACAAAUGGCUCGGUAAACCGCAAGCAGUCAAACUGAUAAAAGCAACCUCUUGAUCAUUGUUCACAUUGACUCUACUGCUGCUUUCCUAAUCUCAAGGCCUAAUCUCUGAGGAGGAGAACAGGGCAUGGCUCAGAAAACCAAAACAUCAAGAACAAGAGAGGAAGAGGUAAGAGAAUAAAACAAAAGGGGGAAGGGGGAGAAUUAAAUGCUCGGGGAGACCCGCAUGCAGAGGUGCAGCUGUCACGUAAUGAUGGUGGUGGGUUGACAACUUUAAACCAGCAGCCCCCGUUUCUGCAGAGAGAGAGAGAGAGGAGAGAGGACGAGCCUUUGGGUUGGUGAAGGACUUCAUUGCCAGUCUUUGUUUGCUGUAAAAUAUUUGCUAAUGUACUUUACAGAUGGCCACCAGAUUUUUGUGUUCUAAGUCCAAGUAUUAAAUGCAUAUUCUGUGAAUUAGCAUCUGCAUUCA